GAAAAAUCUGGGCUCAACCCAGUGGAGCACUCGAUACUGCGGUGACUAGAGUCCGGUAGGGGAGUGUGGAAUUCCUGGUGUAGCGGUGUAAAUGCGCAGAUAUCAGGAGGAACACCGACGGCGAAGGCAGCACUCUGGGCCGGUACUGACGCUGAGGAGCGAAAGCGUGGGGAGCAAACAGGAUUAGAUACCCUGGUAGUCCACGCCCUAAAACGAUGUCUACUAGUUGUUGGGGUAGCAAUACCUCAGUGACGCAGCUAACGCGUGAAGUAGACCGCCUGGGGAGUACGGUCGCAAGAUUAAAACUCAAAGGAAUUGACGGGGCCCGCACAAGCGGUGGAUUAUGUGGAUUAAUUCGAUGCAACGCGAAAAAACCUUACCUGGCCUUGACAUGCCACUAACGAAGCAGAGAUGC
rnacentral:rRNA from 1 species